CACAUUUCAAUUAUAUCACAAAUAAUAAUUAAGUACACACAUAAAAUUAUAAUAAUUAAUAUAAAUUUAUGCAUCUCACCACGGAUCGAAGAAAAUGCAAAACACAAACAAAGGAAUCUAGUGUGUGGUGGCACUCCGUCGCACCGACGGAUUUGAGUUUGGCCAAACGAAGAAGAAGCUUCGUUGAAUCUGGUACUUGCAAAAACAGAAGGAAGGUAGGACUACAGUCCAGUGAUGACCUGGUUCAAAGAGGAACUAUGGAGGUUUCACGUCUAGAGAGGGACAUGGUUCAUAGAGGAACCAGAGACAAGGGAAAAUAAGUAAUAUAUCUCUGAUCCCCGAGAUUUGGUACCACAUGCAUUUUGAGAAUGAGAUGGUGGUAUUAGUAUUUUUCAUUUGCAUUGUUAUCUAUUUGAUUGUGUUUUGGGGUGUGGAUGAUGUAUGUUAUAACUCAUUAUUACUAUUAUGAUGUUGUAUUUCACCGUUAAUAUUUGUUAGAUGUAUUCUCACCUCUUAUUUGUUGUUGUGGCAUUUGUGCUCCUCGGGAGUACAAACAACCAGGUACAUGAAUAGCUGCUUGAGUUAGAGGAUGGCGUCGAUGCCUCUUUAGAUUUUAUCAUUGGGUAUUAGAGGAGUUGCUCUAAUAUGUAGCACUGGGGAUGGGAUGUUCAUUCUUUAUUUGUGUUAUGAUUUCCUUAUGUUGGAGUUUUUUUUGUGAGACUUAUAUGUCGAACUUGCUGAUUUCCGUUGCUUAUUUUUAUAUGACUAUUUUGUGUUUGA